UACGUAGGGUGCGAGCGUGAAUCGGAAUUACUGGGCGUAAAGCGUGCGCAGGCGGUUGUGCAAGACAGAGGUGAAAUCCCCGGGCUUAACCUGGGAACUGCAUUUGUGACUGCAAGGCUGGAGUGCGGCAGAGGGGGAUGGAAUUCCGCGUGUAGCAGUGAAAUGCGUAGAUAUGCGGAGGAACACCGAUGGCGAAGGCAAUCCCCUGGGCCUGCACUGACGCUCAUGCACGAAAGCGUGGGGAGCAAACAGG
rnacentral:rRNA from 1 species